rnacentral:rRNA from 1 species
AUGACCAAGAAAAAAAGGAACUACUAUCUGCUGCCUGACGAAGAGGACCCGGAAAGACCUGUCAAAAACUCUAUUGGAAAAGUGAUGUUUCUCACAGCGGUAGCAAGACCACGGUUUGAUGAAGAUGGGAACAUGACAUUCUCCGGAAGAAUUGGGGUAUGGCCAUUUGUAAGAGUGACAGCAGCAGCAAAAAGAAGCAAGAAUAGGGACAAAGGGACAUUGGAAACAAAGCCUGUCAUAGUGACGAGGGAUGUGAUGAGAGAGUACAUUAUACAGAAGGUUGUGCCAGCGAUUCAAGCAUUGUGGCCUGCAGAUGAUGAUGGACGACCAAUUUUUAUCCAGCAAGAUAACGCGAGAACACAUAUCCUACCUAAUGAUCAAGCAUUCGCAGAAGCUGUGGACAAAAGUGGCCUGGACAUUAGAAUAAUGUAUCAACCUCCAAAUUCUCCGGACAUGAAUGCCCUGGACCUUGGGUUCUUUAGCUCUAUUCAGUCGCUAACAGACUGCAAAAGUCCGAAAACUAUUCCAGAGCUGAUUAAAGGUGUUCAGGAGGAGUUCGAUGGAUAUGAAGUUCCAAAACUUAACAGAGUAUUCAUAACUCUGCAGACUUGCAUGGUUGAAGUAAUGAAGAAUGGUGGAGCAAAUAAAUACAAAAUCCCGCACAUGAACAAGGAUAGGCUAGAAAGGCUACAACUGCUACCGCCCUGGAUCUCAGUUCCUCCUAAAGUGUAUGCAAUGGCACUAGAGAUGCUUGGACGCUGA